GCUUUUUUUUUUUUUUCCCUUGCUUUCUGAUGUUUUUGCAGUCUUUAGCCGUUCAGCCAAGGUUUAAAAAAGAAAGCGUAUGGAGGUAAUGAGGGUCAUUCUCCAUGUGGCUUAAGCUGUUUUUUGACUUCGUUUUGGGAGGCCCAAGUGUGGGAUUAGUAGUUUGUAUCAUGCUUAGUAUUCUCUAGGUAAUAUGAGGUGAAGCAGUAAUAUAAUAUGGAAUGGCAGAUGGGUGUGGGGUAUAUUUAUGUAUAGUGUUUUGUCAACUCUUUUUCCAUUCUUUGAUGGGUGGGAAUGGUUUUGCCUUCAUGAAAUCUAUGUUAUUCCACUUUUGGACAAUUGCUCUUGGCUAAGAUGAAAUUGCAGUUAUACACACUUUUGGUUUGCAUUUAAGGUCCCGACUAUUUUAUGAUGGUAAGAUGCAUUUAUCUAAUUUGUAAGCAAUUUGAAUUCAAGAAAGAGAUGCGA
rnacentral:misc_RNA from 1 species